rnacentral:lncRNA from 1 species
GGCCCCUGGAUGCAGGCUGGCCCUGGAUGGACGGUCCUCCUCUGCAGGCCGUGUUUGGUGAGUUCGGUUCACAUGCAUCUCGUCCUCCAUGGUCCAGUUGGCUCACUGGACUGUUCGCUUUUCGGCCUGGGCAGGACCACAAGAGAGCAAGGCCGAAGAAACCCGCACUGGCACACAUCAAAACACAACUCCACACAACGUCCAAAACUCAUGCUCACACACAUCAAAACACAACUUCGCACAACGUCCAAAACUCACACACACACACACACAAGACACGACUUCACACAACGUCCAAAACUCAUGCUCACACACAUCAAAACUUCACACAUCCAAAACUCACGCUCACACACAUCAAAACACAACUUCACACAACGUCCAAAACUCACGCUCACACACAUCAAGAUACGACUUCACACAACGUCCAAAACUCACACACACACAUCAAAACACAACACACAACGUCCAAAACUCACACACACACAUCAAAACACAACUCCACACAACUCCAAAACUCACGCUCACACACAUCAAAACACAACUUCGCACAACGUCCAAAACUCACACACACAAUCAAAACACAACUGCACACAGUCCAAAACUCACGCUCACACACAUCAAAACACAACUUCGCACGUCCAAAACUCACACACACACACGACACAACUUCACACAACGUCCAAAACUCACGCUCACACACAUCAAAACACAACUUCACACAGCGUCCAAAACUCACGCUCACACACAUCAAAACACAAUGUCCAAAGCUCACGCUCACACGCGCGUUGAAAGCAGCCGGAACAACACAAUUUCCUCCAAGGGGAAAUGCCGAUUCGAAUGACAGCGAAU